rnacentral:rRNA from 1 species
AUUGAACGCUGCGGCAGGCUUAACACAUGCAAGUAGAGCGAGCGGCGGCCGGGUGAGUAAUGCUUAGGACUCUGCCUAUUAGUGGGGGACAACCUCUCGAAAGGGCUGCUAAUACCGCAUACUACAAGAUGAGCCUAAGUCGGAUUGGCUAGUUGGUGGGGUAAAGGCCUACCAAGGCGACGAUCUGUAGCGGGUCUGAGAGGAUGAUCCGCCAAACUGAGGCUGAGACACUGCCCAGACGACGACGGGCGGAAGCAGUGGGGAAUAUUGGACAAUGGGGGCAACGCUGAACCAGCCAUGCGGCGUGUGUGAAGAAGUCCUUAUGGUUGUAAAGCACUUGAAGCGAGGAGGCGUUACUCGCAGAAUAAGCACCAGCUAACUCUGUGCCAGCAGCCGCGGUAAUAC